rnacentral:rRNA from 1 species
AUUGAACGCUGGCGGCAGGCUUAACACAUGCAAGUCGAGCGAGCGGCGGACGGGUGAGUAAUGUCUGGGAAACUGCCUGAUGGAGGGGGAUAACUACUGGAAACGGUAGCUAAUACCGCAUACCAUCAGAUGUGCCCAUAUGGGAUUAGCUAGUAGGGGGGGUAAUGGCGCACCUAGGCAACGAUCCCUAGCUGGUCUGCGAGGAUGACCAGCAACAAUGGAAAGGAGACACGGUCCAUACUCCUACGGGAGGCAGCAGGGGGGAAUAGUGCACAAUGGGCGCAAGCCUGAUGCAGCCAUGCCGCGUGUGUGAAGAAGGCCUUCGGGUUGUAAAGCACUUUCGGCGAGGAGGCGUUACUCGCAGAAGAAGCACCGGCUAACUCCGUGCCAGCAGCCGCGGUAAUAC